rnacentral:rRNA from 1 species
CGUAACAAGGUCUCCGUUGGUGAACCAGCGGAGGGAUCAUUACUGAGUUUACGCUCUAUAACCCUUUGUGAACAUACCUAUAACUGUUGCUUCGGCGGGUAGGGUCUCCGUGACCCUCCCGGCCUCCCGCCCCCGGGCGGGUCGGCGCCCGCCGGAGGAUAACCAAACUCUGAUUUAACGACGUUUCUUCUGAGUGGUACAAGCAAAUAAUCAAAACUUUUAACAACGGAUCUCUUGGUUCUGGCAUCGAUGAAGAACGCAGCGAAAUGCGAUAAGUAAUGUGAAUUGCAGAAUUCAGUGAAUCAUCGAAUCUUUGAACGCACAUUGCGCCCGCCAGCAUUCUGGCGGGCAUGCCUGUUCGAGCGUCAUUUCAACCCUCAAGCUCUGCUUGGUGUUGGGGCCCUACAGCUGAUGUAGGCCCUCAAAGGUAGUGGCGGACCCUCCCGGAGCCUCCUUUGCGUAGUAACUUUACGUCUCGCACUGGGGUCCGGGAGGGACUCUUGCCGUAAAACCCCCAAUUUUCCAAAGGUUGACCUCGGAUCAGGUAGGAAUACCCGCUGAACUUAAGCAUAUCAAUA